CCGACUGCGGCUAAUCUCGGAGCUUUUACAGAGUCCGUUGCUAGGGGUGGGACUUCCGUUGUCAGGGCAAAUGUCCGGAGCGGCUCCUGUUGUUGCUGUGCGGCGCCCAGUGUGAGAUUUCGGCAGGUUCCCUCGUCACAUCAUCUAGAUGGGAUAAACUGCAACCAUGUUCAGCUUUGAGGGAGAUUUCAAAACAAGGCCGAAGGUUUCACUCAGAGGAGCGAGCAAAAAAGAAGAUAAAGCUUCCCUUUUGCAUCGUACCCAGGAAGAGAGGCGCAAACGAGAGGAAGAGAGGAGGAGGCUGAAAAAUGCAAUAAUCAUCCAGUCCUUUGUACGAGGUUACAAGGACAGAAAACAGCAAUACACCAUCCAAAGAAGUGAGUUUGAUUCCUGCGCCAGCUCAGCCGCUGCAAAUGGGGGUGCUACGAAUGGAAGCAAUCUGGUGCUCUUAGUGCGCAAACUCCUGUUUUUCUACAGACAAAAUGAGGACUCUAAGCGCUUGAUAUGGAUAUGCCAGAAUUUGAUCAAACAGAAUUCCCAGUUUGUCAAACAGCUGAUGGGCCCUGACAGGCUGACUUGCCUGUAUCAAAUCAAGCGGCUUUUAGGGUUAUGUUGCAGGUUAUUACAGCAAUGCCAAGAUGACGGCUUGAAUGUUGCACUACCUAUGAGAAUGCUUGAAGUGUUUUCGUCAGAAGUAACAUAUUUGGCUGUUUUACAAGAUACAGAAUAUGUUGCCUCACUAGUCGAACAAAUUUUGCACUACAUGAUUCAGAAAGGAUACUACAGGUCUCUCUACUUGCUAAUCAAUAACAAACUCCCUCCUAGCAUUGACUAUUCAGAUGUCUCCAGAGUCCAUAUUGCUAAAGUUCUUUUAGAAAAUGUUAUGAAACCAUUGCACUUUACAUAUAACUCCUGCCCUGAAGGUGCCAGGCAGCAAGUUUUCACGGCCUUUACGGAGGAGUUUCUGGCGGCACCUUAUACAGAUCAAAUAUUCCAUUUCAUCAUUCCAGCGCUGGCAGAUCUGCAGACUGCUUUUCCUUAUGAGACUUUCCUCAAAGCACUUCUAAAGGAAGGACAGCAGCACUCACGGACAAGCAACACCGCUCCAUGGCUCUUCUACUUUGUGCUGACAGUGGGUGAAACCUACUUGGGUAACCUGUCGGAAGAGGGGAUGCUGAAAUACCUGAGAGUGCUUCAGAUCUUUCUGUCUCAGUUACCGGUAUCGUCUUCUGGCACAAACCAUCAAGAGCUCAAUAGUGAUUCUGAAGAUGAUGAUGACGAUAUCACAAAGAUGCUUACCACAGCCGGUGAUGGUAAAAUCUCAGUGCAAUAUAUGACAGAAGAGUGCCUAAAGAAACUGGACACCAAACAGCAGACCAACCUGUUACUCAACAUGGUGUGGAGAGACUCGGCCAAUGAAGAAGUAUUCACCCUGAUGGCAUCUAUUUGCCAUACGUUAAUGGUGCAGCACAGGAUGAUGGUGCCGAAAGUCAGGUUGCUGUACAGUCUAGCUUUCAAUGCCAGAUUUUUAAGACAUCUGUGGUAUUUAAUUUCUUCAAUGACAACAAAAAUGAUUACAGGGUCUAGGGUGCCGCUUCUCCAGGUUAUAUCAAGAGGUUCCCCAAUGUCACUGGAAGAUUCCAACCGGAUUAUCCCCCUGUUUUAUCUCUUCAGCUCUUUAUUUAGCCAUUCCCUUAUUUCAGUACAUGAUAACGAAUUCUUCGGAGAUCCCAGAGAAGUUGCAGGCCAGAGACCAUCAUCGAUGAUGCCUUUCACAUUAGAUCAGUUAAUAGUAUUAUCCCGAUGCCUACGAGAUGCCUGCUUGGGAAUCAUCAAGUUAGCUUAUCCCGAAACGAAGCCUGAGGUACGAGAAGAGUACAUGGCGGCGUUCAGAAGCAUCGGAGUAACCACAAACGCUGAAAUGCAGAAACAGAUACAGGCUGAGCAGAAGCGAUGGAUCCAGCUUUUUAAAGUGAUCACCAAUCUGGUCAAAAUGCUGAAGUCACGGGACGCAAGGAGAAACUUCUGUCCUUUCAAUCACUGGUUGUCCGAACAAGAGAAUAUUAAAGCUGAUAAGGUUACCCAACUUUAUGUUCCGUCAGCCAGACACGUGUGGAGAGUAAGGAGAAUGGGCAGAAUAGGGCCGUUACAGUCUACAUUAGAUGUUGGCCUGGAGCCUGCCCCGUUGUCUGUGUCUGAAGAGAGGCAGUUGGCAAUAUUGACAGAACUCCCCUUUGUGGUUCCCUUCGAAGAAAGAGUAAAGAUCUUCCAAAGACUCAUCUACGCUGACAAACAGGAAGUCCAGGGGGAUGGCCCGUUUAUAGAUGGAAUCAAUGUCACCAUCAGAAGAAAUUACAUCUAUGAAGAUGCUUAUGACAAGCUGUCUCCUGAGAAUGAGCCUGAUCUCAAAAAGCGCAUCCGCGUUCAUUUACUGAACACUCAUGGCCUGGAUGAGGCUGGGAUUGACGGAGGAGGAAUAUUUCGGGAGUUCUUGAAUGAGCUGCUUAAAUCUGGGUUUAACCCUAACCAAGGCUUUUUCAAGACCACCAACGAAGGGCUUCUGUACCCCAAUCCCGCUGCUCAGAUGCUUGUCGGUGACUCCUUUGCGAGACACUACUACUUCCUGGGGAGAAUGCUGGGGAAGGCGCUGUAUGAGAACAUGUUGGUGGAACUGCCUUUCGCCAGUUUCUUCCUGUCCAAGCUGCUGGGUACCUCGGCCGACGUUGACAUUCACCACUUGGCGUCAUUGGAUCCUGAAAUGUACAGAAAUCUGCUUUUCCUAAAGAGCUAUGAAGACGACGUGGAGGAACUGGGCUUGAACUUUACCGUGGUUAAUAACGACCUGGGAGAAGCGCAGGUGGUGGAGCUGAAAGCGGGAGGGAAGGAUAUUCCAGUGACCAGCGCCAACAGAAUCGCCUACAUCCACCUGGUCGCUGACUAUAGGCUCAACAAGCAGAUCCGGCCGCACUGCCUCGCCUUCAGACAGGGUCUGGCCAAUGUGGUCAACCUUGAAUGGCUCCGGAUGUUUGAUCAGCAAGAGCUCCAGGUCUUGAUUUCUGGAGCACAAGUUCCUAUCUGCCUGGAUGACCUGAAGUCCUUUACAAAUUAUUCAGGAGGAUACUCUGCUGACCAUGCCGUCAUUAAAAUCUUUUGGAGAGUUGUGGAAAAUUUCACGGAUGAAGAAAAGCGCAAACUGCUGAAAUUUGUCACCAGCUGCUCCCGGCCGCCAUUGUUAGGCUUCAAAGAGCUGUAUCCUGCCUUCUGCAUCCACAACGGAGGCUCGGAUCUGGAACGGCUGCCUACUGCAAGUACCUGUAUGAACCUCCUAAAGCUUCCCGAGUUCUACGAUGAGCAUCUCAUGAAAAGCAAGCUUCUGUACGCGAUUGAGUGUGCCGCCGGCUUUGAGCUGAGUUGAGUGGCUACGGAAGAGGGACUAGAAACUAGUGCCUACUUUUAAUAACAAUGUCCGUUGUAGCUGUUUCUGGAUAAGUGAAAGGCUUCAUUGUAUGAAAAAAAAAACAAACCUGCCUUGAUUCAUGGCUGUUAUAAGUUUAACCUCUCACCGAUACCGCUUGUUAGGUUUAUCUGUUUGCAAACAUGGCUGGGGAUAAGCGUUGGGAAAGCCUAAGGUGCUAUGGGAAGGCUGUUCAAAAAAGAAAACAUAAGUAUUAGAUGUUCAUUCUGGGACACACUGGCUGUGGUUGGGCUAUUUGAGCAACAGGCAGUGGACUGCAGGUUGGACGCCCAUCGUGACUGCAGGUUGGACGCCCAUCGUGACUGCAGGUUGGACGCCCAUCGUGACUGCAGGUUGGACGCCCAUCGUGACUGCAGGUUGGACGCCCACCGUGACUGCAGGUUGGACGCCCACCAUGACUGCAGGUUGGACGCCCACCAUGACUGCAGGUUGGACGCCCACCAUGACUGCAGGUUGGACGCCCACCAUGACUUCAGGUUGGACGCCCACCAUGACUUCAGGUUGGACGCCCACCAUGACUUCAGGUUGGACGCCCACCAUGACUUCAGGUUGGACGCCCACCAUGACUUCAGGUUGGACGCCCACCAUGACUUCAGGUUGGACGCCCAUCAUGACUUCAGGUUGGACGCCCAUCAUGACUGCAGUUUGGACGCCCAUCAUGACUGCAGUUUGGACGCCCAUCAUGACUGCAGUUUGGACGCCCAUCAUGACUGCAGUUUGGACGCCCAUCAUGACUGCAGUUUGGACGCCCAUCAUGACUGCAGUUUGGACGCCCAUCAUGACUGCAGUUUGGACGCCCAUCAUGACUGCAGUUUGGACGCCCAUCAUGACUGCAGUUUGGACGCCCAUCAUGACUGCAGUUUGGACGCCCAUCAUGACUGCAGUUUGGACGCCCAUCAUGACUGCAGGUUGGACGCCCAUCAUGACUUCAGGUUGGACGCCCAUCAUGACUUCAGGUUGGACGCCCAUCAUGUCUGCAGUUUGGACGCCCAUCAUGUCUGCAGUUUGGACGCCCAUCAUGUCUGCAGGUUGGACGCCCAUCAUGACUGCAGGUUGGACGCCCAUCAUGUCUGCAGUUUGGACGCCCAUCAUGACUGCAGGUUGGACGCCCAUCAUGACUGCAGGUUGGACGCCCAUCAUGACUGCAGGUUGGACGCCCAUCAUGACAGCAUCACAUAAUUUAGAAUACACAUUUUACCACCAUGACAGUCCAUACUCUUUCUGCCGUUCCCUAAAUCCAGCCCUGUCGGUGAUACCAACCAAAGAAGAACAUCACAACAACAUCACACCCAGAAAGCGCCUGGUUCCUCAACGGCUUGAAACAGGGUUCCGAAUCUAUAAUAUCCAACUAGAACAGAGGGAAUCGUGGGAAAGCUUUGCUGCAGCCAACCGAUUUCUUCUCUCCUGCACCUGAAAUAUUUAUAAAUAUAUAUAUAAAAAAAACAGAAUUUUAACUGUUUCCACUAAAGUUUAUUGCGUUCACUACCUUCUGCGCAGGACGGUAGCCAUGAAAUGUGUCCUUUAUAGUAUUUUAUUUGCCCUUUGUAUUGAAGCAACAACAGAAGCGCCAGGUGGGAUUAUACAUUUUAAGUGAUUCUGUACAAUGUACAUCAUGAUUGGUAUAUAAACAGUUGUUAAUAUAAACAAGCUCAAUGUUUGCUUUCCAUUUCUGUACAAAAUUUUUUGUAAUUUUUUUUUUUGGGGUCAUGUAGUACAGUCAAUGCUAUGGAGAUGGUUAUACAUAAACACCGAUUAAAUAUUGUUUCAAACAAG